UCAAUGAACGUUCCCUUGGUGCCGUGCGCGCGGUUGCCAGCUGCCUCCAGCGGCCUGGGAUGUAGUUUCGGGCGUCUGUCCAGCGGCGCCUGCGCGUAGUGACAUCGCUUCUGGGAAGCUGCGGCCCGCGUGCUUCGAGGGUUUCGAACUGUCGACGUUGGGAGGCCCACUUGCGUUGGGAACAACCUUCUGCCGCCUUCAAGAAGGGACACACAGGUGCCAGGCAAACAAUAGCUGCAGAUUUGGCACUUGUCCCUUCCUCCUUGAGAUCCCGCGGGCUAGUGGAAUGCAUACCCAGAACGUCAUGAAAAGACUCGUUUUCGGUUUGCGUGCUGUAUAGCCUGGUGUAGCCUCGAACUCUUGGCAACCCUCCUUCCUCAGUCUCCUAAAUCAACAUUAAGAGGAUUACGGACGUGGCUUCUGUAUCUGCUGAUGAGAAGGAUUUCUUGUUUUGUUCUUUUCAGUGCCGCCCGCUUUACUGGGACAGUAGCAGCUAGCACUCACUGAUCUUUUGGCAAGUUGGUACCCCACCCCCACCCCCUCCGCCAUGCUGCUCUUGUUGCUUUUGAGCACUGAAAGACAUACCCCAGGCUGGAAACCUGUGCCUGAAGUGAGGCAUUGGGUGGGAAAAGAGUGGAUGCAGUCUCCCACUACUGCGGGUUAUAGAAACUAAUUUGCCUUUGGAGGAAACACAAGGGUUAAUACACACUAAGAGCAAUGUGUGAACCUUGACCUGGGAAAACCCUUCUUGAUCAGAGUCUCCCCUGCCAGGAAGGAACCUCAAUGAUACUGAGCAUCUAUGAACUGCCCCACAGCCGGCAUCACACCUAUUGAUGAGACAGCAGCUGCUUCCCCCUAAGACAGGAACAAGACAAUGACACCUACUCUCCCCGCUUCUAGUACAACGUUCUCCAGACAGUCCCAGCCAGUGCAAAAGGCAAGAGAAAGAAAAUACAUAACGACUAAAACAUGGCCUCUUGAGUCAGGUGUGGUGGCAACACCUGUAAUUCCAGCACUUGACAGGAAGUUCAAAGCAAACUUGAGGCCAUCCUAGACCACAUAGUGAAUUCCAAGCAAGACCUUAUCUCGAAUAAACAAACAAAAUAUGUCUUUCAGCAAA